ACCGGUUUUAACUGGGACCAGUAUACUAACUAUACUAACUGGCGGUUUAGUUUGGCUGGAACCGGUUUUAAGAAACCUCCCGGUUCCGGUUUUUUGUUUUCCGGUUUCGGUUUUAAAACCGGUUUUUUUUACACCUCUAGGUUACAGUACUAGCAAAGCUAUCAGUGCUUUUAAAAUUGAGGGACUUCAUCUUCUAUCAAUGAUCCUACACUUGGUAUAUGCUAUAUGUAUAUUUUAUAUUAAAAUUAUUCAAAAUAUUGUUUUUAUUUCAUUAUUCAGAUCAUCACUUGCAGAAGAUGUAACCUAAAAGGAACUUUGUUUUGCUUGCUUGGUACUAUUAGACACCUGUGCCUGAAAUAGUUUACGCAAUGAGCGACAAAAGUUGGAUGACCUUUCUAUGUGUAGGUGGUAUUGCCUUUUUGCAAAACCGUGUUGGUAAGUUUUGAAAAUACAAGAAAACUUUGCUGCAGUUUUUUUAAUAAAUUACAUGUUAUAUGUUGGAAAAUUUCUACAAAUUAUUAUAUAUAAUAGAGAACUUGACCAAGAACUUCAUAGCUGGGAGUGCGCUAAGUGUAUAUGGGCAAGUCGAGCUGGUACAUAGCUUAACCUAGAGGUGUACAAAAAACCGGUUUUAGAAUCGAAACCGGGAAAAAAACCGAAACUGGUUUUUUUUAACCGGUUUUAUAACCGAACCGCCAGUUAUAGACCGGAUAGGAUUCUUGGUAUUAAAAAAUCGGUUAAUAACCGAAACCGGUUUUAAAAAAACCGGUUAAACCGGUUAAAAACUGGGUUUUUUUUUUUGGCAAAAAACGGUUAAACCCGAUCCCAACCGGUUACACCGGUUAUUGUUUUCGACUUGAAAAACCGGUUACAUUUAUGCCCUUCUAAACGGUGGUAGAGGUCACACUUCAAGAACGGUAAUCAAUAGUGCAGAUCAAAGCUUGUCAUCAGUUGGUCCAAAUGUGCCGAGAAUCUGCCAUGACUCAACGUUGCUCUUGUAGACGAUUUGUAGCAGCUCCUACAACAACGGUGGUGGUUGGUGUUCUGGUGACUUCGGUUUAGGGUUCUGACAGUCUCAUUUUCACUGUUUAGCUCCAUACACAGAGGGACCCAUUGAUGGGUAUUUAAUAUUGAAUCGUACAUACAGAGGUGCAGCAACAAAAAGGCCACUCCUUUUUAUUGGAACCAGUGAACAUAUGGAUGAAUUUGAACUAAUUGAGAUUAUGUGCAGCGAUUUAAUUUGGGAUUUUGUUUUUUGGGUAGAUAUUUAGGUCUACAUAGUUAAAGACCCUAAAGGAGGUAAUUCUAAUUUGCGCAAUUUAAGUGUUUAUUAAUUAAAGUUCCCUAUACAUUCUUCUUCUAUUUUGUGUUGUUCAUGAUGGGUGUUUUAACGGAGCCAUGUGCCUGAUUUGAUUAAUCGUGGGGGGAACUUCAUCGUGGUCCGAGUCUAAGCCGACUUACAAAGGUACAUUAUUUGGUGUAUUUGACCCUCUUGACCGUUAGCUUUUUGCACCCGCUGAAGAAGAAUCUUGGGAAUGGCAGCGGUGAUAUAAAACCUGUUUGACACAUUUCCCAUUUAGCUAUAAAGAAUCUUGGUUUAACACGAACAGAGAAGCUUUUGGAUUUGUUUCAUGGAAAAUUGGGAAUAAAUGUUGACCCUAUAUUCGAUAAACUAGGCUCCUAAGAUUUCAUGCUUUUGUCUAUGUUUCUGUAUAUGAUUUUUUUUUUCAAAGGGCGACCAUAUUUAUGUUCAUGAUCACUUAAUUAAUGUGGAACAAAACUUAUUCUUUCUUUAUUUUUAUGAAAUCACCCUUAUAC